GCUUUGACGUACAGGUCCAAACAUACGCCAGCUGCCUAUAUUUGACCUGUUCGAUAGUAAUAGUUGUUGAUAAAGAGUGAUGGAUAUAUUCGCUGGUGUCAUGUAGCCGUGUGCGUUCAUUCGUCUGUUUUUAUGCUACACACGUCGUUUAUGGCUGUGCUAACGCUAACGUUAACGCCUAAUGUUUACUCUUGUCUUUGUGUGCAUACAGUAUAAAUGACCUGACCAGAUGGGUAUUUCCGCACUCAUUUAUUAUGAAGGAAAUCCUAAGAACCCUCCAUGUCUUUGCGCUCAGAGUGCUUCUGUUCCCAAGCUCUUUGGGCCGCUCUGCGCCUCGUCCUCUCGCCUCGGAGCUUCUCACUUGUCACCUGAAGCAGCGCAGACUUCCUCCCUGGACUUCGUUCUGCGUCCGCUACAGCUCCGUGCACAAUGAUCAGUUCGGCCUGUCCAGCUUCAACUGGACUGUCCAGGGCUGUAACUACCACAUCCUCCGCACUGGCUGCUUUCCUUUUAUCAAGUACCACUGCACCAAAGCACCUCCCCAUGAUCUCUCUUACGAGAACCGGUUCUUCUGUGCUCUUAAAGUCAUCAACCUGGGUCUUCCCUGUUUGGCGUAUGGUAUUGGCUGCUGGAUGGUGAUCGGCGCGUCUGAGACAGUGCAGACAUCAGCCGGGCCCGUCACUGUGUAUUUCGCCUACAAAGAACAAGAUGGCGCUCAGUAUUAAAAUCCUCUGCUCUGCUGCUUUUUGUGAUCAAUAAUUUAAAGUUUAAAGCGGCUCAAGUCAGUUAUGCAUAUUAUUACACUGGCAUACAACACUGGCUCUGUUUGAAAGGCUGAGCUGUGAUAAGACCACAAGAUGUUUGGAUCAAGCUGCACAUCAGAGUCCUUCAUGUGUGUCGUCCUCU